AUUGAACGCUGGCGGUAUGCUUAACACAUGCAAGUCGAACGGUAACAGGCCUUCGGGCGCUGACGAGUGGCGGACGGGUGCGUAACGCGUAGGAAUCUGCCGAUUAGUGGGGGACAACGUGGGGAAACUCACGCUAAUACCGCAUACGCCCUACGGGGGAAAGCGGGGGACCUUCGGGCCUCGCGCUAAUCGAUGAGCCUGCGUUGGAUUAGCUAGUUGGUAGGGUAAAGGCCUACCAAGGCGACGAUCCAUAGCUGGCCUGAGAGGACGAUCAGCGACACUGGGACUGAGACACGGCCCAGACUCCUACGGGAGGAAGCAGUGAGGAAUAUUGCGCAAUGGGGGAAACCCUGACGCAGCAACGCCGCGUGGGUGAAGAAGGCCUUCGGGUCGUAAAGCCCUUUCGGACGGGACGAACGCUCCGCGGUGACAAGCCGCGGAGCCUGACGGUACCGUAAGAAGAAGCACCGGCUAACUCCGUGCCAGCAGCCGCCGUAAAAC
rnacentral:rRNA from 1 species